GUUAAAACGAUGUAUGACGUUUACAUCAUAACCUCACAUUGUAACCUCAAAAGCAGAUAUGAUGUAUCAGUCACUGUGAUAUUAACUAAUAAAAGUGAAUAAAUUAAUAGUUGAUUGAUUUUGCGAUUGAAAGCUAUGCGAUUGACAGGCUGGAGAUACGGCGUGUUUGUCGGAGGUUUCUUAAGUCUCAUAGAAAAAAUUAGAGAACAUGCUCUCUCAAGUAAAUCUACAUAAAUUAUUUCAAAUUGGAGAACUGAUUGUGAAAUGGUGUAUCAGUCGCAAGUUACAUGUCUUCAUCAUUAAAAAUGUUCUGCAGUGAAGAAUAGGUAUGAUAAGAAAAAAAUUACACUGACUGUUGUAUAAAAUAAAUGUCUAUUAAUGUUCCUUGCAAUUAAA